UUAACUAUUUUUUAUUUUUUUAAAUAACAAAAAAAAAAAAAAAAAAUGUCAGAGAGAGACAGGCCUCAAAGCCGCAACCUUGAGAUUACCAUUAUGUCACUAUCAUAUCUCUUCAGAAUUGCACCAGCUUAUUUUAUGGGACAUGUCCAGCGACAAAAGCCGUAUCCAGCAAAUUGAAUAUUUUGGAUGAUAGACAUGUACAGUUUAGAUCACAUGUGCACAGGAAAAUCAACACAUGACAUUGAAACUCAAAAUGAGAUAGUUGAUUCUGAUUGGAUCUCAUUAUGUACAGUCCUGUCCAAAAAGUUUAAAUCAGGUUACCAGAAAAGGUUCAGCUAUCUAACAAUAUGCACAAAUACCAGCACUAAUCAUUUCAAAAGCGGAGCAAUGCUGCUGUAAUUUGGACAGGCACCAUUCCACAGUUUCCAUAGCUACAGGGAGGGAAGGUAAUUGGGGAACUGAAAAUUUGAAAUUGAGAAAAGUAUUACGAUUACAGUGUAAUCGUAAUACUUUUCAGUGUUUAUUAUUCAAUUAUACUUUACACAAUAUAUAAAAAACAUAACUAGAUAUCGAAAAAUAUAACAAGUGUCACAAAUAUUAAGCGAU
rnacentral:lncRNA from 1 species